rnacentral:rRNA from 1 species
GAUGAACGCUGGCGGCGUGCCUAAUACAUGCAAGUCGAGCGAACAGACGAGGAGCUUGCUCCUCUGACGUUAGCGGCGGACGGGUGAGUAACACGUGGAUAACCUACCUAUAAGACUGGGAUAACUUCGGGAAACCGGAGCUAAUACCGGAUAAUAUAUUGAACCGCAUGGUUCAAUAGUGAAAGACGGUUUUGCUGUCACUUAUAGAUGGAUCCGCGCCGCAUUAGCUAGUUGGUAAGGUAACGGCUUACCAAGGCAACGAUGCGUAGCCGACCUGAGAGGGUGAUCGGCCACACUGGAACUGAGACACGGUGCAGACUCCUACGGGAGGCAGCAGUAGGGAAUCUUCCGCAAUGGGCGAAAGCUUGACGGAGCAACGCCGCGUGAGUGAUGAAGGUCUUCGGAUCGUAAAACUCUGUUAUUAGGGAAGAACAAAUGUGUAAGUAACUAUGCACGUCUUGACAGUACCUAAUCAGAAAGCCACGGCUAACUACGUG